GCUAGGGGGCAGUAUUGACACGGCUGGAUAAAAAAACAUACCCGAUUUAAUCUGGUUACCACUCCUACCCAGUAACUAGAAUAUGCAUAUACUUAUUACAUAUGGAUAGAAAACACCCUAAAUUUUCUAAAACUGUUUGAAUGGUGUCUGUGAGUAUAACAGAACUCAUUUGGCAGGCAAAACCCUGAGACAUUUUCUGACAGGAAGUGGAUACCUGAUGUGUUGUAUUACCUUUAAACCUAUCCCAUUGAAAAACACAGGGGCUGAGGAAUAUUUUGGCACUUCCUAUUGCUUCCACUAGAUGUCACCAGCCUUUACAAAGUGUUUUGAGUCUUCUGGAGGGAGAUCUGACCGAACAAGAGCCAUGGAACGAUGAUGGCCCAUUAGACACCUGGCGCGCGAGUUCAUGUUGGGUACCCUCGUUCCAAUACAUUAUAAAAGAGUAUGCAUUUGUCCACCUUGAAUAUUAUUCAUGUUCUGGUUAAAAAAGGCCCUAAUGAUUUAUGCUAUACAACGUUUGACAUGUUUGAACGAACGGAAAUAUAUUUUUUCCCCUCGUUCAUGACGAGAAGUCCGGCUGGCUUACAUCAUGUGCUAACGAGACGGAGAUUUUUGGACAUAAAUGAUGAGCUUUUUUGAACAAAACUACAUUCGUUAUGGACCUGUGAUACCUGGAAGUGACAUCUGAUGAAGAGAAUCAAAGGUAAUGGAUUAUUUACAUAGUAUUUUCGAUUUUAGAUCUCCCCAACAUGACGUCUAGUCUGUAUCGCAACGCGUAUUUUUCUGGGCACAGUGCUCAGAUUAUUGCAAAGUGUGAUUUCCCAGUAAGGUUAUUUUUAAAUCUGGCAAGUUGAUUGCGUUCAAAAGAUGUAAAUCUAUAAUUCUUUAAAUGACAAUAUAAUAUUUUACCAAUGUUUUCUAAUUUUAAUUAUUUAAUUUGUGACGCUGACUUGACUGCCGGUUAUUGGAGGGAAACGAUUUCCUCAACAUCAAUGCCAUAGUAAAACGCUGUUUUUGUAUAUAAAUAUGAACUUGAUAGAACUAAAAAUGCAUGCAUUGUCUAACAUAAUGUCCUAGGAGUGUCAUCUGAUGGAGAUUGUAAAAGGUUAGUGUAUCAUUUUAGCUGGUUUUAUGGUUUUGGUGACCCUGUCUUUGACUUGACAAAACAUUACACACAACUCUUGUAAAUGUACUGUCCUAACAUACUCUAAAUUUAUGCUUUCGCCGUAAAACCUUUUUGAAAUCGUAAAACGUGGUUAGAUUAAGGAGAUGUUUAUCUUUCAAAUGGUGUAACAUAGUUGUAUUUUUGAAAAAUUUGAAUUUUGACAUUUAUUUGGAUUCAAAUUUGCCGCUCUUGAAAUGCACCUGCUGUUGAUGGAGUGCACCACAGGUGGCACGCUAGCGUCCCACCUAG
rnacentral:lncRNA from 1 species